AGUGAGAAAGUCAGAGGAGGAGGCUGACAUUGUGAGGGCAGGGAGGGAAUUCAGCCUGGAAGUGCUCCAAGGACUGGCUGUGCUGGCUGUGCUUUGAGAGUGCUUUGGAAAACUUUCAGAGUCACCAGCCAACGCAGACAAGACCUCUUUCCACCUACUUUCCCUUUCCUGCCAUCUUCCCACUGUCCCUUUCUUAUCCAACCACCCAGCGUGAGACAUGCUGGUGUGGGCAGGAUCCUGGUGAAUCCUGGGCUGGUGUCUUAUUGACCAUCCUGACAUGUGGCCUGAUGAUCAUGAUUUUGGCACUGUUCAGGGAGGAGAAUAUUAGGAAGAGAAAAAGGGGAAAGGGAAGAAAAUUAUCUCCAUGUGGAGGAGGAAAACAAAGCACAAGUCUCACACUACUGUGUUACCUGGACAUACAGUUUCACAGCAGCCUAAACAAGGGAAAAUAAUUAGCUUUCGGACAAGCUUGAGCUGUGAUGUCAGAAGCUAUCCAUGGCUGCUGAAAGAAGUUAUUAGUGCUGAGCUGAUGAAGGCUUCCUGGCAAAGCUCUGCCUCUUUACUAAUUUGUCUCUCUGGGAUUUUAACAAAAUUUAAAAAAACCCGAGGUAAACGCAAAAAAAAUACAUUUAUUUAUGCAUUAAAAAGAUAUGUAUUUGUAAAGCAAAAAUGCCAGUAACGUUGCUGCUGAGCUCUGCAGACAGCUGAGAAAUAAACAAAACAAAAGACAUUACUUCGUUCCAGUAUAAACAACACUUUCCUCCGAGCAGGGAAACGUUUGGGCAUUUUUUUUAAUUAACUUUUUGUCUCUUUUUCUCCCUCCUCCUGCCCCCCCCCCCCCCCCCCCUCGAAAUUCACAGCGUUCAUUGGCAAGUCUGGUAAUUAUCAGUCAUUAAAGGUGUCAGCUUUCCUCCAAGUGCCAUCAGCAGAGUGUCACAUAUGCCCGGGGGGGGGAACACACAUCCUUCCCGUGCUGUCCCUGCCCAACACCAGCAGUAAUUGCACCCAAACUGAAGCUGUUUCUCUCCUCCAAAGCGAGGACACACCCAGGGACAGUCAGCCCCUGUCACUGCCACUGGAACAGCAAGUCCCCAAAGUGAUUGCACUGCACGAUGGUAAAUAUUAUGGGAAGAUAUGGAGUGGGAUGAAUUAAAAACGCCUGUGUGGAUCUAUGGAGGGUUUGAUUUCACCCAGGAGGAAUGAAGAAAUGUGGAUCACUCUGAGCCUUGGAUGUCCGAGGCGUAAUCUAAUUUCUCAACGUAGUCAACCAGUUGAAAUGUGCAAAAUAUGGAUUCCAUUGGGAAUCUGGCUGAGCUGUGUCUGAUUAGCAUGUGCAACUGUUCAGUGGCGGGUUUUUGUGAGCAUUUAGUCUCUGCUUUAAACAGAAUCAUCACCAGCUGGUUAUUUUUUACUGUUAUUAGGUUAGAAAAUAGCACUGAGGUAUACAACAGUAAUCACAAAGCUGUGAUGCCAGGGAAAAAAUAAUCACGUUAAAUUGACCUUCAUGAAUAAAGAGUGAGGUUCCAUUUCGCCUCA